rnacentral:rRNA from 1 species
GACGAACGCUGGCGGCGUGCUUAACACAUGCAAGUCGAACGGAAAGGCCCUGCUUUUGUGGGGUGCUCGAGUGGCGAACGGGUGAGUAACACGUGAGUAACCUGCCCUUGACUUUGGGAUAACUUCAGGAAACUGGGGCUAAUACCGGAUAGGAGCUCCUGCUGCAUGGUGGUGGUUGGAAAGUUUCGGCGGUUGGGGAUGGACUCGCGGCUUAUCAGCUUGUUGGUGGGGUAGUGGCUUACCAAGGCUUUGACGGGUAGCCGGCCUGAGAGGGUGACCGGCCACAUUGGGACUGAGAUACGGACCAGAAUCCUACGGGAGGCAGCAGUGGGGAAUAUUGCACAAUGGGCGGAAGCCUGAUGCAGCAACGCCGCGUGCGGGAUGACGGCUUACGGGUUGUAAACCGCUUUCGCAUGUGAUGAAGAGUGAGUGACGGUAAUGGGUAAAGAAGCAACGGCUAACUACGUG